rnacentral:tRNA from 1 species
GGGACUGUGGCUCAGUGGCAGAGUUCCUGCCUAGCAUGCAUGAAGCCCUGGGUUUGAUUCCUCAGUACCA